CCUGCGGGGCGGGCACCGGCGAGCGGCGGGCGAGGGCGCGCAGCGGAGAGCGCACACCCCGCGCUGCCCGCCCGGCGUGCCGCGGGCAUGGAGCAGGACAAGUACCUGCCCCAGCUGAUGGCCGAGAAGGACAGCCUGGAUCCCUGCUUUGUUCAUGCCAUGCGCCUGCUGGAAGACGAAAUGGAAAAAUUUCAGGGUUCUGAAGGCAAGAAGGAAGAUGAAGAAAAGAAAUAUCUCGAUGUUAUCAGCAACAAAAACAUAAAGCUGUCAGAGAGAGUUCUGAUCCCUGUCAAACAAUAUCCAAAGUUCAAUUUUGUUGGGAAAUUGCUUGGACCAAGAGGAAACUCUUUAAAGAGGUUACAAGAAGAAACAGGUGCAAAAAUGUCCAUCCUGGGAAAAGGAUCCAUGAGGGAUAAAGCUAAGGAGGAAGAACUAAGGAAAAGUGGAGAAGCCAAAUACGCGCACUUGAGUGAUGAGCUCCACGUAUUAAUUGAAGUUUUUGCUCCACCUGGGGAGGCGUAUUCUCGUAUGAGUCAUGCCUUGGAAGAAAUAAAAAAAUUCCUGGUUCCUGAUUAUAAUGAUGAAAUUCGCCAGGAGCAGCUGAGAGAACUGUCAUAUUUGAAUGGUUCUGAGGACUCAUCACGUGGACGGGGUAUUCGAGGAAGAGGGAUCCGUGUGCCACCUGCAGCUCCUUCAAGGGGUCGUGGGGGUGCGAUUCCUCCACCCCUGCCUGGACGAGGUGCCCAAGCACCCAGAGGAGCGCCAGUGACCCGUGGAGCCCUCCCUGUGCCACCAGUGGCAAGGGGUGUUCCCACCCCUCGAGCCAGGGGUGCCCCGUCUGUCCCGGGUUACAGACCACCCCCGCCACCUGCACACGAGGCCUACGAGGACUAUGGAUACGAUGAUGGGUAUGGGGGUGAAUAUGAUGAUCCAAGCUAUGAGGCAUAUGAUAACAGUUAUGCUACCCAAACACAAAGUGUGCCUGAAUAUUAUGACUACGGUCACGGAACAAGUGAAGAGGCUUAUGACAGCUACGCACAAGAAGAAUGGGCCACAACCCGUUCCAGCCUAAAGGCACCACCUCCAAGGUCAGCCAGAGGGGGUUACAGGGAACACCCCUAUGGUAGAUAUUGAAGGUCCUCCUCAUCUGUGACCUCAUCUCAAAGACAAUUAAUAGCCUGUGGUCUCCACAUAAACAGCAACAAGACAAUGCUAAAUAUCACCGCCCUUGAAGGCAGUUUAGAGGGCUGAUAUUCUUUUGAGACUAUCAGACUUGAUGGCUGAUGAUUAUUAAGGAAAUAUGUCGCAGCACUCAAAGGAUGACUAAACGUUAAACAGGGACUCACAGGCACUGGACAGCUAAGCAGCAGAUCUGCUGAGAAGUGGUCAGGUUACUGUCAUUCCUGAUGGGCUUGGCCUUGGCCAGCAGUGGGUCCAUCCUGGAGCCACCAGGCAUUGGCUCUGCAGGACAAGGGAGAAGCUUCAAGCAACUUCUCACAGAAGUCACCCUUGUUAACCCCUUCUGCUACCAAAACCUGGCAAGACAAACCCAACGCACAAGGUCUUGCAUAUGCUGCUUCUUUCUUUUUCUUUUAAUUUUUCCCUUUCUUUUUCCUCUUCUUUCCAUAUACCUACUUUAGCUGAAAAGAUAAUCAAGGAUACUAUCAUUCAAAUGAAAUACUACUAUUCUCUAUGAUAUAGAAAUUCAAUUUAGUGUUCUCUGAGUAUUUAAAAUUGAUAGGGUUCUUUUUCUUAUUCUGUAUGGUAUAUUAAGAAUUAUAUAUCUUUUAAAUAUCUCUUUUAGAAUUCAUAUGUAAAAAUGCAAACAACUGUCAGGAAUGUUACAUUAUGUUGAAUUCUAGUUAAGCAAAGUAGGUUUCUGAAGGAGAAUUUAAUCCUGCAGAUUUUACUCAGGUUUCGUUUACUAAAAGUCCAUGCUGACAUCAAGGAAUGAAAAGAGAAUAAUAUAUAUAAUUUAAUUAAAUUCAAACAGAACACAUUCCUGUAAAGGACUGUAUUGCAUCAUUCUAGCGCAUGUCCUGCUUAACUGGCAUGUGAAAUAACCUUGAUCUAGGAAGAGUACUUCAGUUACAGUACCAACAUUAGGAUUCUGCUUUUCAUAUCAUCAUAACUAAUUUUCCCAUCUCAACCUGGCAAUCAAGUUCAUCUGUUCAUGAUAGUCACCAUUUUAUUUUCAUAACAACUAACAAAUAAGUUUUUGAAGGAGGCACAAUACUUUUCUUUACAGUCUUUUAUGAUGGUAUUGCUGAACUUGUUUGCAAAUCUAAGGCAAAAAUGAGUCAUCCACUAGACAGUGAAGGCCUGUGGAAUACGUGCUUUAGGAAAUCUAGUGCUCAUUCAAAAGAGUUAUUGUAACCCCAAGAAUACUUCAUAGUUCUUAUAAAGCUUAAAUAGCACCUACAGAGCUUAGAAGAAAAUUUCCGCAUAGAACUCCAAAUACUUAAUGAAGGCAGUAGAUAUUUUAAUCUCUGCCUUAUAAUAGAGAAUUAGAAAAAUAAUGAAGCUGAAUGAUUUGGCUAAAAUCAUGCAGCAGAUCAGAGUGACAUAAUAAAGUGCAAUUAGCAAAGCAGCAGGUGAGGGUAAGAAGCUGCAUCAGGAAAUGAAACACAAGACGUAUUUAGAGCUGUGGUUUGUUGUGAGAAUUGAACUCCCUUGUCUAUCAUGCAGUUGUACUAUUAUCACUUGGCACCUGCUGGACUUUACCAGGCAACUGGAUGAAGCAGCCAGCAGAAUGUGUGUGUGUAGGGAACAUACAUACUUGGGCCAGAUUUACAUUAAAGAAGCCUGUUAUUAUUAUCUUCAUCCCUUUGCAUUAUAACUCUGUUUUUCUAUAGCUGCAUCAACUGUUGCCAUGGUAAGUUUCUCAUGCUGUGUGUCUUUGAUGAAGAAGAAAUACAUCUCUAAACACUGAUAAGGACUUGAGACUCCUGGUAAUACCCAUUGUCCUCCCUAUAGCACUGAACACAUUGGGAUUGGACCCUAAAAACCUACAUAUUCUUAUAUUUUAUAGUGCUGACAGUUCUAGAAAUAACAGAAGUUCUAUUUUAGACCAUUUUAGGGAUCAUUUUAGAUUCAAAGUUGUUUGGGUUUUACUACUUUGAAGUCUGCUAGACUAAAUUAGUGGAAAUAAGGCAUCAGACUUUGUAAUACCUAGUCAACCAAAAAUAACCCUAAGAAUAUGUUUAAGGAUCUAAAAAAUUGUGUUAGUUUUUUUUAAUAUGAAAACAUUUUAUAACAGGUUCUACAUCUGGACUUAUGUGGGUGACUCAUUCUCAUUCGCAACUCUCACAGAUAAAAUAUAGAACCCCAAAACAAGCUAUACAACUUUAAUCUGUCAUGCCUGCAUUUCUCUCAUUUAUCUUGUAAAUAUACUCUUGGCAGGGCUGGUAAUUUUAGCUACCAUUAAGAUAACCAGUGCAUUCUGUAAAUGCAACUGUGUCCACUUCAAAUUAAAUUUUCCAUUAUGACUAUCUACUCGAUCCAAGGAUUUUGGAUGCUAAGCACUUUAGAAAAAUAAAAAAUUUUUGGAAUUUACACAAUAAUAAAUGUUCCUUUUUUGUUAUCAAACAUCUGUGAAAGUAUAUUGCAAAACACGUGUCACAAUACGCUCCAGGGCUGGUUUUUCAUGCCUGAGAGAAUAAGAACUGCCUUGCUUUGUUCAGACCAUGAAUGUAUCCUGACCAGUAUCUUUUUUUCUAUCAGAUCCAGAAAUGGAUGUUUGGAGUACAUGGUGGAGGGGUCAGGAGAAAUAUGUAGAACAAGUAGAAGCUCUGCUGUAUUAUUAGCAAAUUAACACCAGACUGGUCCUAUCUCAGACUUGUUUUCCCGGUGCCCGUCUUUUUAACUCCACUGUCUUGCCUAAGGUACAAAAUAGAUGUCUAUGAUAAUAAUGUAUAAAGGUUGUGUGCCCAAAUGGGCUUUUAUCCAUAGACUGGCUGACAUUCUCAGGUACUGGGGUCUCUGCAGUGAUUUGGGUUACAAGAAAAGUGGAAGGCGUUUAAUGACCAAAUAGCUGAGUUUGACUAAAGCCGAGGAAUGGAUUAUAUUAUCCUUCAGCAUCUCUACCAGCAGAAUUUUGUAUGAGCCAAAUUGCUCAAAGUAAAAACCUGCUAAUGCUGUAUUUCUUCUUGUCUUGAGGUCUUACAGAAAAUCUUGGGAUCUGAUUUUCAUCAGAGUUACAAGUGGCAUCAUCAGGAGUUUUGCCUGACUAUGCAGAGUGCUGUUUAAGGUUAGGUGCAAGUGUUUGGUUUCCAAGGAUAUGUAACAGAGGUGAAUGUUUUAUUUGAACUCAGAAAUGUAAUAGAAAAUUAGUCACACUAAUGAGGUAUUCGCAUACUAUAGCCACAAGUGACACAGAAAUACAACUGAAAACCUGAUAAUUUUGUCAAGAAAAAUUAAAGAUUUGAAUAGAGUUAAACAAUUAAUAAAGGAACAACACAUUGAAUAAGGAAGAUAAAAGAACUAUUGAAUAAUUGGUUUUCAGUGCCCUUUCUUAUGCAUGAAAUUAAGCAGAAAAAAACCACAACUCAACCAUUGUAGACUCAGUGGUUGAAACAAAAAAUAAAUAAAACUGAAAUUUAACUCAACCACUGACUACAUCAAAUGUAUACAUUAAAAGACCUGAAUUAAGGUUUCACUGGCUUGUAACUGAUAUCUAACUAACUUCAGAGUGCUUGGGUUACUUUAACCUUUUUGCAAGCCUGAUGUUUAGACCUACCUAAUAUUUUCCAUCAAGGAAAAGUUUAUGGAAAGGUUUACAUAAUUUGCAAAUUGAAAGUUCUUGUAUCAGAAAUUUGCUUAGGAUUUGAGGAAUCCUCCUGAGGGUCCUAAAAAUUAUUUUCUGAUUCUUUCUUGAAAAUCUGUUUGUUUUGGAGAAUAUCAGGAGACAUCCACAAAGUUGUUGUUUACCAACUCAGUAACCUUACUAGAAGCUACAAAAAAAUGUGUAUGUUCCCCUUACCCCACUGAUGAGGAUUUUUUUCUGCUAUGUGAAGUUACCUUGGUGUGACACUUGGGGAAGUAUUGAGCACAUUCAUCACCUAACUUCAAAUUACCUACCUUUUGCCACUGUAGGUACUUAAAGUACCUAUGCAUUCAGUGGAGUGAUCUUUACUCAGCAUGAAUAUAAUCAUCCUGCUGUAUUAUAUGCAUAAAGAGUGUUGGUAUUCACACAGUUCACCACCACAAACCUCCUUUUUUAUUACACUGUUCAAAGCAUACUCAUACUACUGUGCAUGGACCACGGGCCUUCAUCUCAAGUAGAUUGCAGGUGCAGAAAAGAUACUGAGGCAGCACUUGAUGAAUUUGUAGCAGUAUGAAAAUUAAGAGUUGAAAUGAGAAAGCUAGGAUAAAAUUAUAGCUAAAGUUUCAUACAGUGAUUUUACAAAAAGGUUCAAAAUUUAAAAACAAAACAAAAGUAGAAAUACCAGGUUUAGUUUAGUUUACUCCUUUCCCUCUUUUUUACUCUGCUGUUCACACUUACUGUUUUAGAGACCCUAAGGGUGUGAUCACAUGCUCUCUCAUUCUACUUGCAGGGCACAGGAGUGUGUUAGAACUGUGUAGCGAAUUCUGUUGUUAUUUUUUGUAACUGCUUUAUCUCAUAGCAUGCAGAAUUUGGAAGGUAAUGUCUUCUAAAGAGUUUUCUGUCAUCCAAACUAUCCCUGUGUCACAGAGAUGCUGUGUGAAGCUACAUAAGUCAUUUUAGCUAAAAUAUUAAUGCGACAACUAAUAUUAUGUUUUUCAUUGAAUAUGUCUGCCCAACUUUAUCUUGAUUUUCAGAUUUUUGGAGCCUUAGGGAAGUACUGUACCUUUUGAAUGGUGUUCAGGGAACUGAGAGUGCUCAACAUCAUUUGCAGUAAAUCACUGGGUUCUGAAGGACUGAGCCUCAGGUUGGGACUCUCCACAGCCCUGAGUUCUGGACCUCAGGCUACCAUUACAAGCCUCUCUAGGAUAUGCCACCACUUAGACUUACAGUGAUCUUCCAGUCUAUCAGAUACUGUGGAAAUUAAUAUAUUACAGAUUUUGAGACAGCCAGCUGGUAUUAAUGAAAGCCAGAGAACUACUGAAGAUGCAUAUUUUACACUAAUGUUUUACUAAUAGCUGGAAUUGCAGCUGAAGUGAGCCUCCUUUAUUUUUCUAAAAGCAUCCGUAUUGACUGGAUUAUGUUGCUGAACUCUUACACUGUAGUGAGGAUCUCCAAAAUCAGGUACAGAGUACUUCAUUAUGUGCACGAACAGAAAUGCUUAAAUGGAUGAAGCAGCUAUUUACGUCUGAUAGGAGCUAAGUGGGACAUUAAAUUAAUGCCAAACAAGUUAGUGAGACUUUAAUCAAGAAAAAAAAAAUCUAAUGAACAGCAAUUGGAAACACAGCAUUUGGAAAGGUCAAAAUGGUACAUUACAUCCUUAUUAUCCAAAAGAACAGAUGAGUUUAAUAUCCUGGCAGCAUUUUCCUGUGAAGAAGAUAUUAAACAAGAACUGAAAAUGGCACAAGGUUCCCUCUUCCUUUCCUAUGACAAAGAUUGUAACAAGAUGAUGAAACUAUACAGAAUAAAUCUCUUUCUGCUUUAA